UACGUAGGGUCCAAGCGUUAUCCGGAAUCACUGGGCGUAAAGCGUGCGUAGGUGGCGCGUUAAGUGAGAUGUUAAAUCGUGGGGCUCAACCCUGUCGAUGCAUCUCAUACUGGCGUGCUAGAGGACAGCAGAGGCAAGUGGAAUUAGCAGUGUAGCAGUGAAAUGCGUAGAUAUUGCUAGGAACACCAAUGGCGAAGGCAGCUUGCUGGGCUACUCCUGGCACUGAGGUACGAAAGGCGUGGGGAGCGAACAGG
rnacentral:rRNA from 1 species